AUGAGCAGGCCCCAAUAUUUAUUUCUUCAAUUCUCUUCUGUCGUCAGGUCGCAGCCUCUUCCUUCUGCAGGUCACCGCCUCCUGCUUCUGCAGGCCAUGCCCCAUUCCCCGAUUCCCGCAGCAGACAGGCCGUUCACCGCUGGCACCAUAGUCCGUUCACCGCCGACAACCGAGGCCGUUCAACGGCGCAACGACGAGGCAACAAGCAGAAAGGGAAAAAGAAGAGCACGAUUGACAUCAGUAGUCAAAAAUAAUAGAACAUCAGUUCUAAAAUUCCCCGCGCAUCAGUACACCUAUGUAUUGCUUCUGCGAUUUUCAAAUAUGGUUACAGUUGUUGCUUCGAUUUUGCUGUUGAUGUACAUAGUUUGUGAAGAGAAGAUUUUAUAA
rnacentral:rRNA from 1 species